CAGCAGCCACGGUAAUACGUAGGUGGCAAGCGUUGUCCGGAAUUAUUGGGCGUAAAGGGCUCGCAGGCGGUUUCUUAAGUCUGAUGUGAAAGCCCCCGGCUCAACCGGGGAGGGUCAUUGGAAACUGGGAAACUUGAGUGCAGAAGAGGAGAGUGGAAUUCCACGUGUAGCGGAGAAAUGCGUAGAGAUGUGGGGGAACACCAGUGGCGAAGGCGACUCUCUGGUCUGUAACUGACGCUGAGGAGCGAAAGCGUGGGGAGCGAACAGGAUUAGAUACCCCGGUAGUCCCUGUCUCUUAUAC
rnacentral:rRNA from 1 species